rnacentral:rRNA from 1 species
UACGAGGGGGGCGAGCGUUGUUCGGAAUUAUUGGGCGUAAAGGGUGCGUAGGCGGCCUGACAAGUCUGAUGUGAAAUCCCUGGGCUCAACCCAGGGCCUGCAUCGGAAACUGUCGGGCUUGAGUAUGGGAGAGGUGAGUGGAAUUUCCGGUGUAGCGGUGAAAUGCGUAGAUAUCGGAAGGAACACCUGUGGCGAAAGCACUCUGCUGGGCCGACACUGACACUGAGAGACGAAAGCUAGGGGAGCGAAUGGG